rnacentral:rRNA from 1 species
GUGGGGAAUUGUUCGCAAUGGGCGCAAGCCUGACGACGCAACGCCGCGUGGAGGAUGAAGGUCUUCGGAUCGUAAACUCCUGUUGAUCGGAACGAAAAGCUUCAACCUAAUACGUUGAAGUCUGACGGUACCGGUUGAGGAAGCCACGGCUAACUCUGUGCCAGCAGCCGCGGUAAUACAGAGGUGGCAAGCGUUGUUCGGAAUUACUGGGCGUAAAGGGCGCGUAGGCGGCCUUCUAAGUCGGACGUGAAAGCCCCAGGCUUAACCUGGGAACUGCGUCCGAUACUGGAAGGCUUGGAUUCGGGAGAGGGAUGUGGAAUUCCAGGUGUAGCGGUGAAAUGCGUAGAUAUCUGGAGGAACACCGGUGGCGAAGGCGGCAUCCUGGACCGAGAUCGACGCUGAGGCGCGAAAGCUAGGGGAGCAAACGGGAUUAGAAACCCUAGUAGUCC